CCUACGGGAGGCAGCAGUGGGGAAUAUUUCACAAUGGGGGACACCCUGCUGCAGCAACUCCGCGUGCGUGAAGACGGUUUUCGGAUUGUAAAGCUCUGUUAGCAGGGAAGAGGAAGGACGGUACCUGCAGAGGAAGCCACGGCUAACUGAGUGCCAGCAGCCGCGGUAAUACGUAGGUGGCAAGCGUUGUUCGGAAUAACUGGGCGUAAAGGAUGCGUAGGCGGUUAAAAAAGUUAUAUGUUAAAUAUUGAGGCUUAACCUGUAGAAAGCAUAUAAAACUGUUUAACUAGAGUGCAGGAGAGGUAAGUGGAAUUCCUAGUGUAGCGGUGAAAUGCGUAGAGAUGAGGAAGAACACCAGUGGCGAAGGCGACUUACGGGACUGUAACUGACGCUGAGGCAUGAGAGCAUGGGGAGCAAACAGGAUUAGAUACCCCGGUAGUC
rnacentral:rRNA from 1 species